rnacentral:hammerhead_ribozyme from 1 species
UCCUAACUGACGAGUCUCAAAUAGGACGAAACACAAGUUUUAGAU